UACGGAGGAUCCGAGCGUUAUCCGGAUUUAUUGGGUUUAAAGGGUGCGCAGGCGGGGGAUUAAGUCGGCGGUGAAAUUUUGCAGCUCAACUGUAAAAGUGCCUUCGAAACUGGUUUCCUUGAGUGUAGAUGAAGUAGGCGGAAUUUGUGGUGUAGCGGUGAAAUGCUUAGAGAUCACACAGAAUAUCGAUUGCGAAGGCAGCUCACAAAGCCAAGAUUGACGCUGAGGCACGAAAGUGUGGGGAUCAAACAGGAUUAGAUACCCU
rnacentral:rRNA from 1 species